rnacentral:rRNA from 1 species
AUUGAACGCUGGCGGCAGGCCUAACACAUGCAAGUCGGGCGGAUGAAGGGAGCUUGCUCCUGGAUUCAGCGGCGGACGGGUGAGUAAUGCCUAGGAAUCUGCCUGGUAGUGGGGGAUAACGUCCGGAAACGGGCGCUAAUACCGCAUACGUCCUGAGGGAGAAAGUGGGGGAUCUUCGGACCUCACGCUAUCAGAUGAGCCUAGGUCGGAUUAGCUAGUUGGUGGGGUAAAGGCCUACCAAGGCGACGAUCCGUAACUGGUCUGAGAGGAUGAUCAGUCACACUGGAACUGAGACACGGUCCAGACUCCUACGGGAGGCAGCAGUGGGGAAUAUUGGACAAUGGGCGAAAGCCUGAUCCAGCCAUGCCGCGUGUGUGAAGAAGGUCUUCGGAUUGUAAAGCGCUUUAAGUUGGGAGGAAGGGCAGUAAGUUAAUACCUUGCUGUUUUGACGUUACCAACAGAAUAAGCACCGGCUAACUUCGUG